rnacentral:lncRNA from 1 species
CGGCCCAGAACGUCUCCUUCACGACGUCGAGUCAUAGAAUUAAACGUGCCUUUUUUUAGAACGACGACAACCAACACCCAAUGAAAUUCAUCGCCACAAUUGAUUGGGAUGUACACUUCGUCACUAAAUACCAAGGUAAGCCAGAUGGAAUUCUAAAACCUUUGAUGAUGUUGAUUAAGCAUUCCUCAUUUCGGGAAAAUUUCGG